GACGAACGCUGGCGGCGCGCUUAACACAUGCAAGUCGAACGGAAAGGCCUGCUUUCCCUUGUGGAUUGCGGGUACUCGAGUGGCGAACGGGUGAGUAACACGUGAGUGAUCUGCCCCCAACUUGGGUAUAAGCCUGGGAAACUGGGUCUAAUUCCCGAUAGGACUGCAGGGUGGUGCCUGUGGUGGAAAACGAUUUUCUAGUGGUUGGGGAUGAGCUCGCGGCCUAUCAGCUUGUUGGUGGGGUAAUGGCCUACCAAGGCGGCGACGGGUAGCCGGCCGGGGGGGGGGGGCGGCAACAUGGGGACGGGGAACCGGCCAGGACGCCGCGGGGGGGCGGCGGGGGGGAGUAGUCACAAUGGGCGGGAGCCUGAGGGCCGCGCCGCGGGGGGGGGAAUUCCGCCUUUCGUGUGUGAACCUUUUUGAGCCGGGGAGGAAGCCCCUUGGGUGGAGGGGGGGUGAGGGUAGUGUAAAAAAAAGCCCCGGCUAACUACGUC
rnacentral:rRNA from 1 species